CCUACGGGUGGCAGCAGUGGGGAAUAUUGCACAAUGGGGGAAACUCUGAUGCAGCGACGCAGCGUGAGUGAAGACGUAUCUAGGUAUGUAAAGCUUCAUUAGCAGGGAAGAUAAUGACGGUACCUGUCUAAGAAGCCCCGGCUAACUCCGUGACAGCAGCCGCGUUUAGAUGGAGGGGGCAAUCGUUAUCCGGAUUUACUGGGUGUAAAGGGUGCGUAGGUGGGAGGGCAAGUCAGAUGUGAAAACCCGGGGCUCAACCCCGGGAGUGGAGUUGAAACUGUCCAGCUGGAGUGCAGGAGAGGUAAGCGGAAUUCCUGGUGUAGCGGUGAAAUGCAUAGAUAUUAGGAGGAACACCGGUUGCGAAGGCAGCUUACUGGACUGUAACUGACACUGAGGCUCGAAAGCGUGGGGAGCAAACAGGAUUAGAUACCCCUGUAGUC
rnacentral:rRNA from 1 species